rnacentral:rRNA from 1 species
UACGAAGGGGGCUAGCGUUGCUCGGAAUCACUGGGCGUAAAGCGCACGUAGGCGGAUUGCUAAGUCAGGGGUGAAAUCCUGGAGCUCAACUCCAGAACUGCCUUUGAUACUGGCAAUCUCGAGUCCGGGAGAGGUGAGUGGAACUGCGAGUGUAGAGGUGAAAUUCGUAGAUAUUGGGAAGAACACCGGUGGCGAAGGCGGCUCUCUGGACCGAGACUGACGCUGAGGCGCGAAAGCGUGGGGAGCAAACAGG